GGUUAAGCGACUAAGCGUACACGGUGGAUGCCCUGGCAGUCAGAGGCGAUGAAGGGCGUGCUAAUCUGCGAUAAGCGCCGGUAAGGUGAUAUGAACCGUUAUAACCGGCGAUACCCGAAUGGGGAAACCCAGUGUGAUUCGUCACACUAUCAUUAACUGAAUCCAUAGGUUAAUGAGGCGAACCGGGGGAACUGAAACAUCUAAGUACCCCGAGGAAAAGAAAUCAACCGAGAUUCCCCCAGUAGCGGCGAGCGAACGGGGAGGAGCCCAGAGCCUGAAUCAGCAUGUGUGUUAGUGGAAGCGUCUGGAAAGGCGCGCGAUACAGGGUGACAGCCCCGUACACAAAAGCGCAUGUGCUGUGAGCUCGAUGAGUAGGGCGGGACACGUGGUAUCCUGUCUGAAUAUGGGGGGACCAUCCUCCAAGGCUAAAUACUCCUGACUGACCGAUAGUGAACCAGUACCGUGAGGGAAAGGCGAAAAGAACCCCGGCGAGGGGAGUGAAAAAGAACCUGAAACCGUGUACGUACAAGCAGUGGGAGCCCCACCACCAAAGCAUUCUCUGGUGUUGAAGGCCCUGCAAAGCAGCAUCGCGGUGGCGGAGCGUCGUUUGCGACGCCCAACACACAAAACAAGCGGUGAGUGCUUUGGGGUGGGGUGACUGCGUACCUUUUGUAUAAUGGGUCAGCGACUUAUAUUCUGUAGCAAGGUUAACCGUAUAGGGGAGCCGGAGGGAAACCGAGUCUUAAUUGGGCGUUAAGUUGCAGGGUAUAGACCCGAAACCCGGUGAUCUAGCCAUGGGCAGGUUGAAGGUUGGGUAACACUAACUGGAGGACCGAACCGACUAAUGUUGAAAAAUUAGCGGAUGACCUGUGGCUGGGGGUGAAAGGCCAAUCAAACCGGGAGAUAGCUGGUUCUCCCCGAAAGCUAUUUAGGUAGCGCCUCGUGAAUUCAUCUCCGGGGGUAGAGCACUGUUUCGGCUAGGGGGUCAUCCCGACUUACCAACCCGAUGCAAACUGCGAAUACCGGAGAAUGUUAUCACGGGAGACACACGGCGGGUGCUAACGUCCGUCGUGAAGAGGGAAACAACCCAGACCGCCAGCUAAGGUCCCAAAGUCAUGGUUAAGUGGGAAACGAUGUGGGAAGGCCCAGACAGCCAGGAUGUUGGCUUAGAAGCAGCCAUCAUUUAAAGAAAGCGUAAUAGCUCACUGGUCGAGUCGGCCUGCGCGGAAGAUGUAACGGGGCUAAACCAUGCACCGAAGCUGCGGCAGCGACACUCAGGUGUUGUUGGGUAGGGGAGCGUUCUGUAAGCCUGCGAAGGUGGCCUGUGAGGGUUGCUGGAGGUAUCAGAAGUGCGAAUGCUGACAUAAGUAACGAUAAAGCGGGUGAAAAGCCCGCUCGCCGGAAGACCAAGGGUUCCUGUCCAACGUUAAUCGGGGCAGGGUGAGUCGACCCCUAAGGCGAGGCCGAAAGGCGUAGUCGAUGGGAAACGGGUUAAUAUUCCCGUACUUGGUGUUACUGCGAAGGGGGGACGGAGAAGGCUAUGUUGGCCGGGCGACGGUUGUCCCGGUUUAAGCGUGUAGGCUGGUUUUCCAGGCAAAUCCGGAAAAUCAAGGCUGAGGCGUGAUGACGAGGCACUACGGUGCUGAAGCAACAAAUGCCCUGCUUCCAGGAAAAGCCUCUAAGCAUCAGGUAACAUCAAAUCGUACCCCAAACCGACACAGGUGGUCAGGUAGAGAAUACCAAGGCGCUUGAGAGAACUCGGGUGAAGGAACUAGGCAAAAUGGUGCCGUAACUUCGGGAGAAGGCACGCUGACACGUAGGUGAAGUGAUUUACUCAUGGAGCUGAAGUCAGUCGAAGAUACCAGCUGGCUGCAACUGUUUAUUAAAAACACAGCACUGUGCAAACACGAAAGUGGACGUAUACGGUGUGACGCCUGCCCGGUGCCGGAAGGUUAAUUGAUGGGGUCAGCGCAAGCGAAGCUCCUGAUCGAAGCCCCGGUAAACGGCGGCCGUAACUAUAACGGUCCUAAGGUAGCGAAAUUCCUUGUCGGGUAAGUUCCGACCUGCACGAAUGGCGUAAUGAUGGCCAGGCUGUCUCCACCCGAGACUCAGUGAAAUUGAACUCGCUGUGAAGAUGCAGUGUACCCGCGGCAAGACGGAAAGACCCCGUGAACCUUUACUAUAGCUUGACACUGAACAUUGAGCCUUGAUGUGUAGGAUAGGUGGGAGGCUUUGAAGUGUGGACGCCAGUCUGCAUGGAGCCGACCUUGAAAUACCACCCUUUAAUGUUUGAUGUUCUAACGUGGACCCGUGAUCCGGGUUGCGGACAGUGUCUGGUGGGUAGUUUGACUGGGGCGGUCUCCUCCUAAAGAGUAACGGAGGAGCACGAAGGUUGGCUAAUCCUGGUCGGACAUCAGGAGGUUAGUGCAAUGGCAUAAGCCAGCUUGACUGCGAGCGUGACGGCGCGAGCAGGUGCGAAAGCAGGUCAUAGUGAUCCGGUGGUUCUGAAUGGAAGGGCCAUCGCUCAACGGAUAAAAGGUACUCCGGGGAUAACAGGCUGAUACCGCCCAAGAGUUCAUAUCGACGGCGGUGUUUGGCACCUCGAUGUCGGCUCAUCACAUCCUGGGGCUGAAGUAGGUCCCAAGGGUAUGGCUGUUCGCCAUUUAAAGUGGUACGCGAGCUGGGUUUAGAACGUCGUGAGACAGUUCGGUCCCUAUCUGCCGUGGGCGCUGGAGAACUGAGGGGGGCUGCUCCUAGUACGAGAGGACCGGAGUGGACGCAUCACUGGUGUUCGGGUUGUCAUGCCAAUGGCACUGCCCGGUAGCUAAAUGCGGAAGAGAUAAGUGCUGAAAGCAUCUAAGCACGAAACUUGCCCCGAGAUGAGUUCUCCCUGAGACUUAGAGUCUCCUGAAGGAACGUUGAAGACGACGACGUUGAUAGGCCGGGUGUGUAAGCGCAGCGAUGCGUUGAGCUAACCGGUACUAAUGAACCGUGAGGCUUAACCUU
rnacentral:rRNA from 1 species